rnacentral:rRNA from 1 species
UACGAAGGGGGCUAGCGUUGUUCGGAAUCACUGGGCGUAAAGGGCUCGUAGGCGGCCAACUAAGUCAGACGUGAAAUCCCCAGGCUCAACCUGGGAACUGCGUCUGAUACUGGAUGGCUUGAAUUCGGGAGAGGGAUGCAGAAUUCCAGGUGUAGCGGUGAAAUGCGUAGAUAUCUGGAGGAACACCGGUGGCGAAGGCGGCAUCCUGGACCGGCAUUGACGCUGAGGCGCGAAAGCCAGGGGAGCAAACGGG